rnacentral:rRNA from 1 species
UUGACCUCGAAUCAGGUAGGAAUACCCGCUGAACUUAAGCAUAUCAAUAAGCGGAGGAAAAGAAACCAACCGGGAUUACCUCUAGGGGCGAAA